AGUUUCUGAAGUGGCUAUGUAGGGUGAGUCGUUUGCACAGGCGUCAGCGUUAAGUGCGCUGCCACACGUGUCAGACCUACUGUUUGGCUUCAUAAGCUCCCAAUGUAUCAUCUGGAGUGACAGGACUGUGUAAAAUGUCAUCUGGAUCAUGGAUGUCUCGAGGCUUCACUCCGAGUGAUCCUCAGCAAACUGCUCUAGAGCUCCUCCUGGUGGCAAAUGCUCUUGGCCCUGCUGAGUUUAUGAC